rnacentral:rRNA from 1 species
GCUUAGCAUAUAUUAUUGAUGUUGCAGUUAAAACGUUCGUAGUCGACCUUCGUCUGCUAAUGUGCUUAAAGUAUCCAACUUUGUAGCACCGUCGGCAGAUAUUGUGUAGUUGCUGUCUUCAUGCUUCAUGAAGCUGCACUCUACACCUUACUUUGAGUGAAUCGGCGUGUUCCACGCAGGUAUUUUGCCUUGAACGAUUUACCAUAGAAUAAAUACAUUGUAACAAUGCUCUUAUGUCUAUUCGGGAACAUUGUUUAUAAUGACAAGAACGGUUGAGGGCAUUCAUAUUCAACUGCCAGAGGUGAAAUUCUUUGAUUAGUUGAGGAUGAACAAUGGCGAAAGCAUCUGCCAAGGACGUUUNUUUUGA